rfam:Triticum aestivum genome assembly, contig: Triticum_aestivum_CS42_TGACv1_scaffold_373965_5AL
AUGAUACUCCCUCCGUCCCAAAUUUCUUGUCUUAGAUUUGUCUAAAUACUGAUGUUUCAAGUCACGUUUUAGUAUUAGAUACAUCCAUGACGAAUCUAAGACAAGAAUUUUGGGACGAAGGGAGUAUUAA